rnacentral:lncRNA from 1 species
ACUGUUCUUUUUUUUUUUUCUUUUUAGAAACCCUUAGAUCAUUGACCAGUGAAACAACAUUUGCAACUCCAGUGCUAUCAAAUAAAUCGUCAUAUGUAUGAAAAAGGCAAUGUAACAAAAAUCAUACCUUUAAAAUUAAAAAAAAAACUCUUGUACAAUUGCUCUGGUAAUUGAUUGAGGCAGCCACAAAAUAAAGGGAAUAGCGACAAACCAAGUUAAAAUGGAACUAAAAGGCUUUGGAAUCUGCAUUUAACAAUUCACGACACUACCUGAUUACAUAUACAUAAUAGGUGCUUAUGCUUGACGAAAGUGCGGAUAAAAUAAAAACAAGGUUGCAACAAUGGUAUUGACAGAGUCACGGAAAAUAAGGUUGCAGCAAAAUACCUAGGCAUGGUGGCGAGGUGUCACGGUGGCACGCUGUCACAUUGGCCUGAAAUGGGUUUACAAAAUUAAAUAUAAUGAGUAUGGAACAAUCCAAAAACACAAACCACGACUUGUCGCUAAAGGCUAUUCACAACUAUCAGGAGUUGAUUUCAAUGAGACAUUUGCUCCCGUUGUGCGCAUGGAAACAAUCAGAACUGUACCGGCCUUAGCUGCAUAGUUGAAGCUACAAGUCUACCAGCUAGAUGUAAAAUCAGCUUGAAAAAGGCGCUUUAUGGUCUCAAACAAACUCCCCGAGCAUGGAACAGAAAAAUAAACAAAUACCUCGUCGAGCAUAGAUUCCUCAAAAGUCCAAGUGAGCCGUCACUAUAUGUGAAGAUGCAAGGUAAUUAUUUCUCUAUUUUGUGCCUAUACGUGGAUGAUUUAAUCUACACCGGCAACAACUCACAAAUGAUGGAAGAAUUUAAAAAGGCUAUGAUGCAAGAGUAUGAAAUGACCGAUCUUGGAUUCAUGAGAUAUUUUCUCGGCAUGCAAGUCAAGCAAAGACCUGGACAAAUAUUUAUCUUGCAGGAAAAAUAUGCAAAUGACUUACUAAAGAAGUUCAACAUGCAAGAUUGCAAACCACUUGCCACACCUAUGGUGAUGAACAAGAAGCUUUCAAAAGAU